rnacentral:pre_miRNA from 1 species
CUUAUACUCCCUCCGUUUCAAAAAAUUUAUCUUACAUUUGUCUAGAUACAAAUGUAUCUAGUCAUGUUUUAGUAUUUAGAUACAUCCAUUUCUAAACAAACGUUAAGACAAGAAUUUUGGAACGGAGGGAGUAUUUA